AAGCUUAUCUCUGAGAGGGUGAAAAUUGAAGCAGAUACAAAGAGAGGCAUAAUACUUUCCACAUCCUAUCCCCAGACAGUUAGUAGGAAUGAAAUUUUUUUUUUUUUUGUCUUUUUGCUAUUUCUUUGGGCCGCUCCCACAGCAUAUGGAGGUUCCCAGGCUAGGGGUCGAAUUAGAGCUGUAGCCACUGGCCUAUGCCAGAGCCACAGCAACGCAGGAUCUGAGCCGCGUCUGCAACCUACACCACAGCUCACGGCAAUGCUGGAUCGUUAACCCACUGAGCAAGGGCAGGGACCGAACCCACAACGUCAUGGUUCCUAGUCGGAUUCAUUAAUGGCUGUGCCACGAUGGGAAUUCCAGGAACGAAAUUUAUACCUACUCUUCAGUUCAACGAGAUAGUUUUGAAUUAUUAUAACAAAUACCCCACAUUAUUAAGCUAGUGCCUAUACAUAUUUGUUUUUAAACUAAGAAUCCUUAUAACUAGUACAAAGAUGAAUGUUUCCUCCCAAGAGUGUAAAUUAGGCACUAAAAUGACACACGUGUGUGUGUGUGUAUUCCAAAAUAAAUUUUGCAACCAUUUUGUAACCCCAAAUAAGAGGGAAAGCUUUGAUUGUGACAUUCUGAGAAUAAUAUGGUUUCUGUGACCUCAGCUACUCACCUCAUGCUUUUUGUUUCAUCCUUGUUGAUUGAACUUUUUAGGUCUUAACAUGGCUGAUAUAUCAUAAAGAAAAUAAAUAUUUAAUUUUCUCAGGAUCUUCAAUUCACAUAAAUACUAAUUCUCACUGUUUAGAAAUAUAGACAUAGGAAUUCCUGUUGUGGCUCAGUGGAAACGAAUCUGACAAGCAUCCAUGAGGAUGCAGGUUUGAUCCCUGGCCUCACUCGGUGUGUUAAGGAUCUGGUGUUGCUGUGAGCUGUGGUGUAGGUCAAAGAUGUAGCUCGGAGCCCGCAUUGCUGUGGCUGUGGUAUAGGCCAGCAGCUACAGCUCUGAUUUAAUCCCUAGCCUGGGAAACUCUAUGUGCCUCAGGUUCAGUCCUAAAAAGAAAAAAAUAUAUAUAGAUAUAAAUGUAGACAAUAUAAAAAACGGUGCGAGAUUGGUACCAAAUCCAGGAUACCAAUCUGAAGAUGAGUAUGUAUUAUUAACCUAAACCCUGCUGUAAAUCUAUUUUCUUUACACUUGUCGUAUCUCUUAAAAAGUGAAAUAAAUACAUAUCUGCAUAUAUUUUCAUAUGUGCAUAAAUUUUCUAUAAUAUGCUCUUACAUAUUUUUCCAUUCUAAAACAUAGACACAGAGCUGGCCACAUAGGUCAUAUUUAUGUCUAAUUACUGCCAUCUGGCCUCAGUCAUCCUCAAAUCACAAUCCUAAAGCCAUUUCUGACUUCCUUUAAUAAUUGGUUUUGAGUACUACGGGCUUCCUUGGGAGUAAUCUAUCCUGGCUGGUUAGAUCCAAAGAAGCCUUGAAGAACUCCUAAGAAUGAUACAUAUUUCUGAGUAUUCUAUUUCCCAAGAAUUACCUUUUUCCUUCAUAUGGCCCGUUUGCUGCCUGGACAUAUUGCUGGAGGUCAGAGGAAAGCUUUUCCCUUCAUCCACACUUGCUUCUCCCCUUUUGUUCCAACCAUCUUUGCUGCACACCAAACAACCACCAAUGGACGUGUUCUUAAAUUUUGUGGGUCAUGAAUUCAGAUAGGCUCCAAACAAGCUGAUUUCUGCUCCAUGGUUCUGGAGUCUCAGCUGAACAGACUCAAAGGAAUGGGGUUCAGGGACUCAAAUACAUUGGGGCUAGACUGUUCUGGACCCCCUUUUACUCAGGUAUCUGGUGUCUAGGAUAGGAGAGCAUAACCCUGGGCCCAGCUGGACUGUUAACUCGAUACUCUCCCACUGCCUCACUAGGUUGUUUGGGUUUCUCUCAGCAUGGCAGCAGGCUCCUGGGUUCUGAGGUAGCCAAGAGGAAGCAUCUGGAAAAUGGGUGUUCAGAGAGAGCAAAGCGGGAGCCAUAUGGCAUUUUUAUGACCUAGUCUUGGGAGUAAUAUAACAUUGCUCCUCCACUCAGUUUCUAGGGGAGGCUAUAUAGAUCCCUCACCUCUCCAUGGAAGGAAUGUCAAGAAAUUUUCAGUCCUUAUAAAUCCACUCAACUGAAAGCAGACACAAAAAGCAAAUGCAAAUCUUAGUGUGUAUUACUGGUAAAACUAGAUUGGACUGAAUACACAACAGGGAUAGGCUACCUGCCACUCUUAUCUGAAUUAUCCUCCCCAGUUAAAAUUUCAGAGCAGCAACUUCUUCCUUGUCUCUUCACUCACCAUAGGGUAGGAUAGAACCUGGUAUAUUUAUCACAUUGGAAGAAUUCACUCUGCUUAAAGGUGACCAAGGCAGAGAAAAGAGAUUUCGUGACACCCACUGUGAUUUGGACAAAUUUGACAGUCCUCUAAGACCCAAUACUCAGGAAAAGACAGAUCUCAAAGGGAUUAGGGGAAUAGUGAACCAGCCUUCAAUUGAGUUCAUUUGCCAGACUGGAUGAAUUUGAGCUUUAAUUUUCACGACCUCCUGGAUGUGAUCCUUAGAAGCUGACCACAAGGUUUACAAACUAAAAUAAUAUAAGCUAGAUUUUUAAUCUAAUACAAAAGAAUAGAAAAUGAGACUGCAUCAAACAAUAAUUAAUUAUUUGGGGGGGUGGAAUUCUGUUUACUUGAUCACCAAGAAAAAACAAGUUUCUUAUUCUGUGUCAUGGUCAAACAUAUUAAAAUCUACUAUCCUCAGAAAACUCAUGUGUAUAACCAGGAAAAAGGUAUAAGAAUGUUCAAGUAGUAUUGUUCCAUAAGAAAAAUAAGCAGAUACAUUCAAAUGUCUAUAGUUAGAAGAAUGGUGAAUAAAUUGUGGUAUAUCCACAUAAUGGCAUAUUAUGCUGCAGAAAGAACUGGUGAACAACAGCUAAAAGAAACAACAUGGCUAAAUCUUAGGGACAAUUAAUUUAAAGAUCAUGUUUCUUAAGAAUAUUUGCAGUAUGAUUCCACUAACCUACAUUAAAAAACAUGCAAAAAUAAAAAAUUAAUUAUAGGAAUAUACACAGUUAAGACUUGUAAAAUGCAACAGAAUGAUUAACUCGUUUUAUGGCAUUCAAAAGGCUUACAUUUUCUUGGCUCUUUGCCUAUCAUCAAAUAGUUUAUGUCUUCUAACACAAGCCACUACUUCCUAAUGUGACCCUGAAAAGUCAAAAUGCCUCACGGUCUAGUAUAAUGAUAACAUAAUAUUAAAUUCACCCAAUACAUUUGCAAUUUCUAUCUGUUGUGUUCCUAAGUGCCAGUUCUUAUCUAUUUCUCAAUGUUCUCAGCCAGCAAAACAGGAGAUGAGGGUAUUAUAGGACCCUAUAAAUAAAAACCCUUCUUCCCACUUAAUGGAACAUAGUUGUUCCAAUAAACACCAGGCAUCAGAGGGAAGUCAAUAGUAAGAACUCACAUUAGGAGUUUCCAUCGAGGCUCAGCGGAAACAAAUCUGACUAGAAACCAUGUGGUGGUGGGUUUGAUCCCUGGCCUCGCUCAGUGGGUUAAGGAUCUGGUGUUGCUGUGAGCUGUGGUGUAAGUCGCAGAUGCAGCUUGGAUCCUGCGUUGCUGUGGCUGUGGUAUAGGCCAGCAGCCGUAGCUCUAAUUAGACCCCCUAGCCUGGGAAAAUCCAUAUGCCAUGGGAGCAGC
rnacentral:lncRNA from 1 species